CCUACGGGUGGCAGCAGUGAGGAAUAUUGGUCAAUGGACGAGAGUCUGAACCAGCCAAGUAGCGUGAAGGAUGACUGCCCUAUGGGUUGUAAACUUCUUUUAUAUGGGAAUAAAAUGUUCCACGUGUGGGAUUUUGUAUGUACCAUAUGAAUAAGGAUCGGCUAACUCCGUGCCAGCAGCCGCGGUAAUACGGAGGAUUCGAUCGUUAUCCGGAUUUAUUGGGUUUAAAGGGAGCGUAGGUGGAUUGUUAAGUCGGUUGUGAAAGUUUGCGGCUCAACCGUAAAAUUGCAGUUGAAACUGGCAGUCUUGAGUACAGUAGAGGUGGGCGGAAUUCGUGGUGUAGCGGUGAAAUGCUUAGAUAUCACGAAGAACUCCGAUUGCGAAGGCAGUUCACUGGACUGCAACUGACACUGAGGCUCGAAAGUGUGGGUAUCAAACAGGAUUAGAUACCCCUGUAGUC
rnacentral:rRNA from 1 species